UAGAAGAUACCACAGCAUUCCAUUACAUUGAUGACAUCAUGCUAACUGGAUGUAGGAGGCAAGAAUUAGCAGCUACUCUAGAUUUAUUAGUAAAACACUUGUAUUUCAGAGGGUAAAAAGUAAAUCUGACUAAAAUUCAAGAUCAUUCUGUCUCAAUGGGAUUUUUAGAGCUCCAGUGGUGUGGGGAAGUUCAAGAUAUCCCUUCUAAGUUUAUUUUCUAGUUGUUGGAAGACCAUAGUGAACAUUACAAUUGAUUCCUCAAUAUUUAUUCCACCCAAGAUGGGUAAUCCAAGCCAACUAGAGACUGGUUCAGGCAUGUGGCUGCUUAUCUAACUGUGAGUGAUGGCUGUCACUAUUCACUGUGGGACAGGUAUCAAAUGUCAGCAAUCUCUUCUACUGCCAAUUUGCUGUUUGUUUUUCUCAACUCUUCUCCAUGUUGAAUCCUGGAAGUUAUUGAAACAAUCCUUGAUCAUUGCUUUUAGUCUCUAGUUGUUGUUAGGCAAAAGGAUUUGCGGCUCCUCAUCAGAAUAGCAAGUGAAUAAAGAGCAUGGAUUAUGGAAUCAGACCAGAUUUACACUUCUGACUGCAUGUUAUAACUGUGCCACCUCUCUAAAUCUUAAUUUUCUUGGUUGAAAAAAAUAGCAAAAACAAUACUAUCUCGUACAUUUGAUGUAACGAUUAAAUGAGAUGACGA
rnacentral:lncRNA from 1 species